CCCUUUGGGUGUGACUGCGUACCUUUUGUAUAAUGGGUCAGCGACUUAUAUUCUGUAGCAAGGUUAACCGAAUAGGGGAGCCGGAGGGAAACCGAGUCUUAACCGGGCGUUAAGUUGCAGGGUAUAGACCCGAAACCCGGUGAUCUAGCCAUGGGCAGGUUGAAGGUUGGGUAACACUAACUGGAGGACCGAACCGACUAAUGUUGAAAAAUUAGCGGAUGACCUGUGGCUGGGGGUGAAAGGCCAAUCAAACCGGGAGAUAGCUGGUUCUCCCCGAAAGCUAUUUAGGUAGCGCCUCGUGAAUUCAUCUCCGGGGGUAGAGCACUGUUUCGGCUAGGGGGCCAUCCCGGCUUACCAACCCGAUGCAAACUGCGAAUACCGGAGAAUGUUAUCACGGGAGACACACGGCGGGUGCUAACGUCCGUCGUGAAGAGGGAAACAACCCAGACCGCCAGCUAAGGUCCCAAAGUCAUGGUUAAGUGGGAAACGAUGUGGGAAGGCCCAGACAGCCAGGAUGUUGGCUUAGAAGCAGCCAUCAUUUAAAGAAAGCGUAAUAGCUCACUGGUCGAGUCGGCCUGCGCGGAAGAUGUAACGGGGCUAAACCAUGCACCGAAGCUGCGGCAGCGACACUGUGUGUUGUUGGGUAGGGGAGCGUUCUGUAAGCCUGCGAAGGUGGCCUGUGAGGGUUGCUGGAGGUAUCAGAAGUGCGAAUGCUGACAUAAGUAACGAUAAAGCGGGUGAAAAGCCCGCUCGCCGGAAGACCAAGGGUUCCUGUCCAACGUUAAUCGGGGCAGGGUGAGUCGACCCCUAAGGCGAGGCCGAAAGGCGUAGUCGAUGGGAAACGGGUUAAUAUUCCCGUACUUGGUGUUACUGCGAAGGGGGGACGGAGAAGGCUAUGUUGGCCGGGCGACGGUUGUCCCGGUUUAAGCGUGUAGGCUGGUUUUCCAGGCAAAUCCGGAAAAUCAAGGCUGAGGCGUGA
rnacentral:rRNA from 1 species